rnacentral:lncRNA from 1 species
GACGCACCUCACCAGUACCAGAGCAACAGCUGUGGGGUGUUUAUGCUGAUGGUGAGAUGCAUUCAGAAAUGAUGACUGAUGACUAGUUUGCAAAACAACUUAAUUUCAGUACGCAAUGUAUUCUACCCUCAAAAGCAAUAUGAUUUCAGUGAGGGGGACAUGCUCUCUAUCAGGAGGUGGUGGUUGGACAGCUGUUGGAGACCUUUAUGCUUGAAAGCCCUGCAGAACUAGCUGGCUCCUUCUCACCCUCUCCAUCUCCCCAUCUCAGUCACACCUUCCAAUCACUAAGCAGUGAAAGCCCUGCAGGACUAGCUGGCACACCAAGCUCACCCUCUCCAUCUCCCCAUCUCAGCCACACGCUCCAAUCUGGCACAACAGAGGACAGGCCAUUCUUACCACCCGAAGUCCUUCAGCAAAUUGUACAAGAGACGCUGAGACUGGACAUGGCGAUGCUUGGCGUGUUCAACAGGGUUUCAAACACAUUCCGAGAACUAAUCAAGCCUCUCCAUCCUUCCAUAUAUAUAAAUGACAGUUUGGCAGGGGACAUUAAGCUUAAUAAAGACAAUCUCGUAUAAAUAACGGUUAGAAAGAUUUACAACAAUGCAGGCUGUGGCAGUGGCCUUGCGCUACGCCUCAAAGGCUUCUCAAAAAAGAAGAAUUGGCCAAGCGCACCCCUGGUACUGAGGCACGUUGCAUAUGGCAGGUUUGUCAUAAAAGAUGUCUGCCUUGCAUAAUGUUCUUUUAUUACUCCUUUUUCGUUUUAUUUGGAACGUCUUUUUUUGCAAUCCCUUUCAUUUGUAAAUGUACAUACUACUGUAGUAAAUGUAUCUGCCCAGAAAUGCUGGUAUUUUAUUACUCCUUUCUUUUUUGUUUUUGUGACAAAUGCUAUACGAUGCAUAGCGAUGUAUAUACUUGGAGUCAAAUGGCCUACUGUUUGAGCCUUCAUAGUGUCU